AUAUUAUAACAAUAUUUUAUUUAACUUUUAACUUUAAUCUUAACUCAUCUUCGAAAACAAACAAGACUUUAGAUACCGCUGUUGGUAAGCAGAUGAAUCUAAGGCAUGGGCCAAUGGACUGGGCUGAAACUGGGUCUACCAUGAACUUUAGUUUGUAUGGGCUGAAUGUAAAAACUAAAGGAAAUCGAGACUGAGGGCUUAAUUGCAGAGAGUUCAGAGAAGAAAAAAUGAGAGUUUUGUUCAAGUCAUCCUAGCGGAACGUCGAAGUCAAGGAAGCGAGGCUCAAAAGCAACGAUCAGUGCCUCAGGGGGUGGUCGGUGGCAAAGGAAGGCAGCUACUACUUCGGAAAGGAAUUUGGAAGUGGAAGCUAAAAAAAGGAUAUAUGACAUGUGGUCUUUAUUCAAGCACAUGAUCGUUAUUUGGGACUACCAUCUUUUGUGGGGCAUUCCAAAACAACAACUUUUCAAGAUUUGAAGUAUUGUAUAUGGAAUAAACUACAAGGGUGGAAAGAAAAAUUGUUAUCUCAAGCGAGUAGAGAGAUAUUGAUUAAAGUUGUGGCCCAAGCUCUUCCUACUUUUACCAUGAUAUGUUUCAAGCUACCCAGAGUGUUGUGUAAAGAAUUGGAACAUAUGUAUGCUCAUUUUUGGUUGGUCAAAGAGAAUCAGAAUGUAAAAUGCAUUGGGUUAGUUGGAAUAAA